GACGAACGCUGGCGGCGUGCCUAAUACAUGCAAGUCGAACGCAUUUUCUUUCAGCGUAGCUUGCUACACCGAAAGACAAUGAGUGGCGUACGGGUGAGUAACACGUGGUUAACCUGCCCAUCAACGGGGGAAAACACUUGGAAACAGGUGCUAAUACCGCAUAAUUCCAUUUACCGCAUGGUAGAUAGGUGAUGGGCGCUUUUGCGUCACGGUUGGCUGGACACGCGGUGCAUUAGCUGGUUGGUGGGGGUACGGCCUACCAAGGCUGCGAUGCAUAGCCGGACCUGGAAGGUGAUCGGCCAACACGGGACUGGGACAAGGCCCAGACUCCCUCGGGGGGGAGCAGUAGGGAAUCCUCGGCAAUGGAGGCAAGGCUGACCGGGCAACGCCGGGGGAGGGAAGAAGGGUCUCGGAUCGUAAAACUCUGGUGUUAGAAAAGAACAAGGAGGGGAGUGGAAAGUGCAUCUCUUGACGGUAUCUAACCAGAAAGCCACGGCUAACUACGUG
rnacentral:rRNA from 1 species